ACGGCCCAGACUCCUACGGGAGGCAGCAGUAGGGAAUUUUGCGCAAUGGACGAAAGUCUGACGCAGCAACACCGUGUGAGGGAUGAAGCAUUUCGGUGUGUAAACCUCUGUCGAUGAUGAAUAAAGCAUGGGGGAGUGGAAAGCCUCCGUGUUGAAGGUAAUCAUGAAGGAAGCACCGGCUAACUCUGUGCCAGCAGCCGCGGUAAUACAGGGGGUGCAAGCGUUGUUCGGAAUCACUGGGCGUAAAGGGAGCGUAGGCGGAACUACAAGACAGAGGUUAAAUCUCCGGGCUCAACCUGGAACUUGCCUUUGUGACUGUGGUUCUUGAGUAUGGUAGAGGUUGGCGGAAUUUCCGGUGUAGCGGUGGAAUGCGUAGAGAUCGGAAAGAACACCAGAGGCGAAGGCGGCCAACUGGACCAAUACUGACGCUGAGGCUCGAAAGCGUGGGGAGCAAACAGGAUUAGAUACCCUGGUAGUCCACGCUGUAAACGAUGAACACUAGAUGUCGGGAGGGGUUCCUUCCGGUGUCGUCGCUAACGCAGUAAGUGUUCCGCCUGGGGAGUACGCUCGCAAGGGUG
rnacentral:rRNA from 1 species